UGCGUCCAUGCAUGAGUUGUGCGUCGGCGGAGCUAUGAAUGGGCAGAGAGGGGUGUGCUCUCGCAGACACCAUAGCAGCAGUGAGAUGAGGAGUGCCAUCUACUCCACUGCACGUCUGCACUGAGAGAAGAAAAGAGAAGGAAGAAGGGAGAAAAGGAGUUAUACAACUGCAAUCCUAAACCUGCAUCAGCACAGAGUUUCUCCUGAGAUAAAUCAACCAUGGAACAGAAGGCAAAUGAGUGUCCCACCACCACUUCUCCUCAGAAGCACAUGAAGAACAGGUCCAAAUCCACAGAGGAGAUGCAACAGACAAAGAAGGCCUUUUCCUCACAAAAAUCCCUCCCAGGUAGACCAGAGCUGGACAAAGUGAAGGAGUGUCCUGAUGGCUCUGAUACACCCACGUCCUCAACAGAGGAACUAAAAUGAUAAAAGGAAGGGCCAACAGGACAUUAGCGUUGCCAUCAAGCUACAAGAUCAUCAAAAACACAACAUGCAUAAAAAUGUACAUAUGUACACAGGGAAACAUAAGAAAUAUGAUAGUGGUAAUAGUGAACUAAAUUAUAAAACAUGCAAACAAUCAAUUUGUGAUUUGUUGAAGGAUACUGUAUAAAAAUGUUAAAUUGAACACACACAAGUUAAUGCACACUGAAACAAUCGCAUGUAAACAAAAGGACACCCAUGAUGAUGCUAUUUCAUUGUACUGUGAGUGUCGUAUACAUACCACACUGAAUGUGUAUUGACAAUAAAGUGAUGGUGUUGAGUGAA